rnacentral:rRNA from 1 species
GUGGGGAAUUUUGGACAAUGGGCGCAAGCCUGAUCCAGCAAUGCCGCGUGCAGGAAGAAGGCCUUCGGGUUGUAAACUGCUUUUGUACGGAACGAAACGGCCCGGGUUAAUACCCUGGGCUAAUGACGGUACCGUAAGAAUAAGCACCGGCUAACUACGUGCCAGCAGCCGCGGUAAUACGUAGGGUGCCAGCGUUAAUCGGAAUUACUGGGCGUAAAGCGUGCGCAGGCGGUUUUGUAAGACAGGCGUGAAAUCCCCGGGCUCAACCUGGGAAUUGCGCUUGUGACUACAAGGCUGGAGUGCGGCAGAGGGGGAUGGAAUUCCGCGUGUAGCAGUGAAAUGCGUAGAUAUGCGGAGGAACACCGAUGGCGAAGGCAAUCCCCUGGGCCUGCACUGACGCUCAUGCACGAAAGCGUGGGGAGCAAACAGGAUUAGAUACCCGGGUAGUCC